GAGCUGCAAGAAGAUGCAGCCUUCCCAGCCGGAUAAAAUCUGACAAUUAGCUACAAAAUCCUUACAUGUCUCAACAGGGCACACAGAGAACUCACACAAAGGAAUUUUCAUCAAACCAACCACACAGGCUCUCUGGAAAAUAUCAGUCUGAGGCAGAAGAACAGAGAAUUUCAGUCUGGCUGAAGCAAUAAGAUCACGUAACAGGAACGGCUGAGUCCUCUGCUAAAGGUGAUGGUUACGGGUCUGAAGAACUCACGGUUGCAAAGCCAGACACUGAGCAUAAAACUACCAUCUUGUCCAGUGCCAAGCAUGAGCAGGGUUUAUGGAAAUGUGAUGGAGGUCUGAAGCGAGAUGUUGUCUGUCCUUGGAAAUGGC
ensembl:lncRNA